GACGAACGCUGGCGGCGCGCCUAACACAUGCAAGUCGAACGGAGUUGUGUUGAAAGCUUGCUGGAUAUACAACUUAGUGGCGGACGGGUGAGUAACACGUGAGUAACCUGCCUCUCAGAGUGGAAUAACGUUUGGAAACGACUGCUAAUACCGCAUAAGCGCACAGUGUUGCAUGGCACAGUGUAGAAAAACUCCGGUGGUAUGAGAUGGACCCGCGUCUGAUUAGCUAGUUGGUGGGGUAACGGCCUACCAAGGCGACGAUCAGUAGCCGGCCUGAGAGGGUGAACGGCCACAUUGGGACUGAGACACGGCCCAA
rnacentral:rRNA from 1 species